CUUAAUGUAGCAUACAAUUUAAUCCUACAAUUCAAACAUGCUCAAUGGGGAGAAAAUGUCCAUCUAGCACCUGGAGCACAUAUCAAAGUUUUCCCAUCCUCCAUGUGAGAUCUCACAUCGGUUGGAGAGGAGAACGAAAACAAAUUUUUUUUAUAAGGGUGUGGAAACCUCUCCCUAAGAGACGCAUUUUAGAAACCUUGAGAAGAACCUCGAAAGGGAAAGCCCAAAGAGGACAAUAUCUGUUAGCGGUGG